CGCGACAACCAAAGCACCCUGAAUGUGCCUGAACUCAUCGGGUAUCAAAAGAUAAGCAGGUAUGAGCCUGGUGAGUACUUUGUUGGGAGACUACCGGGGAAUGUCGGCUAUUUGUAACCU
rnacentral:rRNA from 1 species